rnacentral:rRNA from 1 species
AGCGAACGCUGGCGGCGUGCUUAACACAUGCAAGUCGAACGUGAAAUGUAGCAAUACAGAGUAAAGUGGCGUACGGGUGAGUAACACGUGGGUAAUCUACCAAAGAGCCUGGAAUAACCGACCGAAAGGUUGGCUAAUACUGGAUAGUUCAAAUGAAAUAUAAUGUUUCGAUUGGGAAAGGGAGCGAGCAGUCGCCUUCACUUUUUGAUGAGCCCGCGUCUGAUUAGCUAGUUGGUAGGGUAAUGGCCUACCAAGGCGACGAUCAGUAGCUGGUCUGAGAGGAUGAUCAGCCACACUGGAACUGAAACACGGUCCAGACUCCUACGGGAGGCAGCAGUGGGGAAUCUUGCGCAAUGGACGAAAGUCUGACGCAGCCACGCCGCGUGAGUGAAGAAGGCCUUCGGGUUGUAAAGCUCUGUCGGAAGGGACAAAAACGUUUAGGGUUAAUAGCCUUAGAUCUUGAUGGUACCUUCAAAGGAAGCACCGGCUAACUUCGUGCCAGCAGCCGCCGUAA